AUACGGAGGAUCCGAGCGUUAUCCGGAUUUAUUGGGUUUAAAGGGUGCGCAGGCGGCCAUUUAAGUCAGCGGUUAAAUCGUGGGGCUCAACCCCAUUCUGCCGUUGAUACUGGGUGGCUUGAUUGCGGUCGAGGUUGGCGGAAUUCGUUGUGUAGCGGUGAAAUGCAUAGAUAUGACGAAGAACACCGAUUGCGUAGGCAGCUGACCAGACCGCAAAUGACGCUCAUGCACGAAAGUGCGGGGAUCGAACAGGAUUAGGUACCCUGGUAGUCCGCACAGUAAACGAUGAAUACUUGUUUUCGGCGAUAUAAUGUCGGAGGCAAAGCGAAAGCGAUAAGUAUUCCACCUGGGGAGUACGCCGGCAACGGUGAAACUCAAAUGAAUUGGCGGGG
rnacentral:rRNA from 1 species